rnacentral:rRNA from 1 species
AUGGAGUACCAGGGACAGCAGCAGCACGGCCGCGUCGACGAGUACGGCAACCCGGUGGCCCGACAUGGCGUCGGCACCGGCAUGGGGACGCACGGCGGCGUCGGCACAGGAGCGGCCGCCGGUGGGCAUUUCCAGCCCAUGAGGGACGAGCACCAGACUGGCCGUGGGAUCCUGCACCGCUCCGGCAGCUCCAGCUCCAGCUCGUCUGAGGACGAUGGCAUGGGCGGGAGGAGGAAGAAGGGCAUCAAGGAGAAGAUCAAGGAGAAGCUCCCUGGUGGCCACGGUGACCAGCAGCACACCGGUGGCACCUACGGACAGCAGGGUACUGGCAUGGCCGGCACCGGCGGCACCUACGGGCAGCAGGGUCACACUGGGAUGGCCGGCACCGGUGGCACCUACGGACAGCAAGGCCACACUGGGAUGGCCGGCACCGGCGGCGCCUACGGGCAGCAGGGUCACACUGGGAUGACCGGCACCGGCGGCACCUACGGACAGCAGGGCCACACUGGGAUGGCCGGCACCGGAGCACAUGGCACCACGGCCACCGGCGGCACCUACGGGCAGCAGGGCCACACCGGGAUGACAGGCACAGGGGCGCACGGCACUGGCGGCGCGUACGGGCAACACGGCACGGACACCGGCGAGAAGAAGGGCAUCAUGGACAAGAUCAAGGAGAAGCUCCCUGGCCAGCACUGA